CACGACCAAGGCACUGGGGACUUUCCUCGCAGCAUCUCUGGGAGCAAGCUCCCCCUCACGGCGUCGGCCCAACAUCUAUAUCGACAACAUGCAGCGACGUUGAUCUGUCCAAGUCACAAGCUCCAACGCCCAAUUCAAAGCUUCCACGAAAGCUGCUUCAUGAGCCUUCAUGGGAGGGGGCAUGACUCACGGCAUGUCUGUCUCCCACACGCACUCUCUGCACCAAGGUGCUGCUGCGAAGGGCCCGAGCCCGCCACCAAGGCUCCGCGAGAAGCAUCACCACUGGAGGUAUGUGCGCACUGCGCAGC
rnacentral:RNase_MRP_RNA from 1 species